rnacentral:lncRNA from 12 species
UAGGGCUCAUUGUAAUUCAUGUGACCACCUCUGCACCUCCAGGGAGGCUAAAAUGAGAUUAGAAGAUUAAAAUUGUAUUAGCACAGAUCCUGGGAACAAGUUGGACUCCUUGGAGGCUGUUAAAGCUAACCCAGUAGUCCCCCAGCUGUCCCAACUGGGGAAACGUAUGUGAUCUGCCCUUGCCUGGUUUACAGACAGAAGCUGGAGCACUGAUUGAUGAUGAUAUUUGUAAUGAAACUAAUACAUUGAAAGAGCAAGUUAUUCAGAGAUUGCUCCAUGGAUAAUAUGGACAACAAUCCUUAAAACAAAGAAAAAGGAAACAUAAAGCCUUUCUGUGUCCAAGACUUAAUUGCUUCAUGCCAAAAUAGUGCUCAUAAUAUUCGGAUUUCAGAAUUUCUCACAAUGUAUGAACCAGUGCAAAGGCUCCCUUGUGUAUCAGUUUGUUCUGAGCAGCUACAGUAA